rnacentral:rRNA from 1 species
ACCCGGUCUCGUUUCGACCCCGGAAGUUAAGCCCGCCAGCGAUCCCGGGUGUACUGCCCUCCGAGAGGGGGCGGGAAACCGGGAACGCCGCCGGCC